CGAAUAUACAAUUUACUACUCAAGAAGAAUAAAAAAAGCGUAAUUUCACUAAAAACAGGGAUAAAGGGACGCUUAUUGCAGUGUGAGAGCGCUUCAAAAUUAGCGUCUUUUAUAACAUUUUGCGUUGUAGCCAGAAAAGUCAAUAUAAAAAUUGUUGGGCAUUUAAACUAAAACACCCAACAUUUAUUAAGAUUAAAAUUAUUAUAUAUAUAUCCGAUCAACACAUGGAGGAACUAUUUAAAUCCUUUUUUUGUGAUUUUGUGAUAUUUUAAAAUAGCUGGUGUUUGAACAUUCAAUAGUUGAGAGAGUUGAGCAUUCCUUCAUCUCUGCUACAAAUUUGGCUUUUAGAGAGCUGAGUUCUUCUUUUUAUAAAUAUGUUGUAAAAUUAAUUAUAUUUAUAUUGUAAAAUUAAUUUGUUUUACUUUAUAAAAACAAAAAACCGAUCAAUAAGAAAAUUUGCAGCAUUGCAGAAAAGUUGCACUCCUAGAAUAAAACCAAUUCAGAUUGAUAAAAAUGCAAUUUAAAAAUAAUUAUGUUGGAGGUUCAAGACGAUACAUGGAUUUUGAUUGGUAUUGGUAUACCAUCUUUUGUUGGAGAGAUUUUGCCUCAUUUUCACUCAUAAUUUGUAAACGUUACAAAUAACGAUUUGUGGAGCAUCGACAGAUUCUGUUGCAAGAUUUUGUAUAUUGGGCUUGUCGUCAUCCGGUAUUGUGACAAUGCGAAGUGUGGCAUCAUUUUUUGACCUGCUACUGUGACAAGAUGUUGAAAUCAAGCAUAAGGAAAGCCAAUCGUGACACAUAUGUAGGAGUCUCUUAUUGUUGGGCCAUAUCUCUUAGCAUUAUCUAAUGACACGGCGAAACGUUAUGAAACACAAUGUAAAAAAUAACUGCAACGUAUUGAUGAUGGCAGGUCGGACCUGGCAAAGGCCUUAAAUAGAGACGAGCGUCGUGCACCCUUAAAAACAACACCGCUAUCGGAAAGUGUUGGGCGUAAAGUUCGCCUCGGAUCGGAAAGUUAAACUAUAAAUUGGACUCGAUACCAUUCACAGACCGUUUUUAGUUCUACAGUCAAUACGACACGAGAGUUAGUCUCUUUUUAGUUACAUAUGCCUAAGGAAUGAAAGAACCUUGUGCCUAGCUUGAAGAUACCCAAAAACCAAUAUUUCAGUAUCUCCUAACUGGUAUUAGAAGUCGUCCUGAACAGUUUUCCUGACAUUAUUUCAACACAAAUACGAUUGGUUAACAUCUAUGCAAAAGAUGAGCAAUGACCAGAUGACCGAUGUGAAUCGUCGCACCAAUGUUAGUUCCUAUGCUGUAAUAGCUGA